UACAGAGACUGCAAGCGUUAUUCGGAUUCACUGGGCGUAAGGGGUGCGCAGGCGGCCAAGUGUGUUAGGUGUGAAAGCCCGGGGCUUAACCCCGGAAUUGCACCUAAAACUACAUGGCUAGAGCAUUGGAGAGGGGAGCAGAAUUCACGGUGUAGCAGUGAAAUGCGUAGAUAUCGUGAGGAAUACCAGAGGCGAAGGCGGCUCCCUGGACAAUUGCUGACGCUCAGGCACGAAAGCCAGGGGAGCAAACGGG
rnacentral:rRNA from 1 species